rnacentral:rRNA from 1 species
UAGGGAAUCUUCGGCAAUGGGGGCAACCCUGACCGAGCAACGCCGCGUGAGUGAAGAAGGUUUUCGGAUCGUAAAGCUCUGUUGUAAGUCAAGAACGAGUGUGAGAGUGGAAAGUUCACACUGUGACGGUAGCUUACCAGAAAGGGACGGCUAACUACGUGCCAGCAGCCGCGGUAAUACGUAGGUCCCGAGCGUUGUCCGGAUUUAUUGGGCGUAAAGCGAGCGCAGGCGGUUUGAUAAGUCUGAAGUUAAAGGCUGUGGCUCAACCAUAGUUCGCUUUGGAAACUGUCAAACUUAAGUGCAGAAGGGGAGAGUGGAAUUCCAUGUGUAGCGGUGAAAUGCGUAGAUAUAUGGAGGAACACCGGUGGCGAAAGCGGCUCUCUGGUCUGUAACUGACGCUGAGGCUCGAAAGCGUGGGGAGCGAACAGGAUUAGAUACCCUGGUAGUCCACGCCGUAAACGAUGAGUGCUAGGUGUUGGAUCCUUUCCGGGAUUCAGUGCCGCAGCUAACGCAUUAAGCACUCCGCCUGGGGAGUACGACCGCAAGGUUG